rnacentral:lncRNA from 1 species
AUAUAUUGAGGCACUAGGACAUCAGGCUCCUCAUUCUCAAUCCCAUCUAAUCCCGUUAUUCAUAUUAAACUCAAAUUAUUCCCAUGUUGCUAGCAAUUAUCCCUUGAUUCGUCAAUAUUUCCUUUUAGAAUAUACUAACUGUGUUUCUAACUAUCUACCCAUGCUAUGUCUAGCCACAGAAGUAGAUAAUCGAAUCCCUUUACGCUAAAUGGAUAAUUUCACAAUACUACACAAGUCAUAAUCAGUAUGUCUACUCAAUUAUGUAAUUCAUGGUAAUUGUUAUGAGAAGCAAUCUACUAAACUCAACCUGUCAGUCCCAAUUUAGUUCUCCACACAAAUAAUGGCCAGUUAUUUGAUAACGAUAAAGCACAAUAACAAUUACUCAACAUGGAAACAACCGAGAUCAAUAUGAAAUAAUAAGAAUUAGAUGUUCAUGAUAAGAGUACACCCUAAUCCUAGCAAAAGGACAUAGUUCAUGAUUAAACUAAUGACAAACAUGGAUGAAUUCGAUGACAUAAAGAAACCCAAAACCCCAAUUCUGAAAUCGUGUGCGAUAAACCCCAAAACUGCAAUCUUCUGUCGAGAGUUCCCCACUAGAAGGCUGUGAGUAUGCGUUAUAUCUCCCCCCUUCCUCUCUUGCGGCUGCAGGAUUCUUCCCCCUUUUAAUGUGCCUUCUUUUUUUCCUUUAAAAUCCCCCUCCUAUUUUAUUUGUGCUGCAACCUUCUUGAUAAGGGGAUUAAAAACCUUCUCCUCCUUGGAAUAGUCCAACGCCAGUUUUUAUGAAGCCCAAAUUGGACUUAAUUUGAUAAAGCCCAAAUUCCAGCACCACUCUCACAUAGCAUCAGUCCACUUCGUUAUUCUUUCGUGCUUUCCUUGUAAUUCUUCUAAAAAAUCCAGUUUUCUCCGAAAAAAUAACUUCUAUAAAAUUCACACAAAAUACAUCAAAUCCAACUGUUUUAU